rnacentral:rRNA from 1 species
AGUGGUCGGGACGAUUAUUGGGCCUAAAGCCUCCGUAGCCGGUCCUACAAGUCUUCCGUUAAAUCCACCUGCUUAACAGAUGGGCUGCGGAAGAUACUAUAGGGCUAGGAGGCGGGAGAGGCAAGCGGUACUCAGUGGGUAGGGGUAAAAUCCUCUGAUCCAUUGAAGACCACCAGUGGCGAAGGCGGCUUGCCAGAACGCGCUCGACGGUGAGGGAUGAAAGCUGGGGGAGCAAACCGG